AUCUGAUAAAAGCUGCAAUGCAGAAGUGUGUUAUGGACUGUAUUCUGUUCCCCCAAAAUUCAUGUGUUGAAGGCUUAAUUUAACCUCUAACACCUCAGAAUGUGACUGUAUUUGGAGACUGGGUCUUUAAAGAGGUAAAAUUAAAAUGGUGCUAUUUGGAGGGGCCUUAAUCCAAUCUGAUUGAUGUCUUCAUAAAAAGAGUUCAUAUGGACAUCCUGAGAGACACCAGGUAUGCUCACAUACAGAGAAAAGGCUAUUUGGAAGCCAAGGAAAGAAGCCUUGGGAGAAAUCAAACCUGCUGACAUCUUUGAUCUUGGACUUCCAGCCUCUAGAGAUGGGGUACUUUCUGUAUUUGAGUAACCCAUCUGUAGCACUUUUGUAUGGCACCCCUAGCAAGCCAACGCAAAGCUCAAGGUGCUCUUAGAAGGAGCAAGGAUUGCUUUCCACAGGGAGACUGAUCUGAAGAAUGAUUGGUGGUUAACUGUAGGGGUCCUGUGAAUGCAGUACAGUGAAAAGAUCCUAAGUGAAGGGAGAAGCCAUUUAAAGAUUUAAACACGACAUUCCUAUGAUCUCUUUGAAACUUUUAUAAGUAAAUAUAGCUACAACAUGGUAACCAGUGAAGAUCGGGGUCAACAAAAGAGACUGAAAAGCAGUGCACUGGCAUCAGGAAACGAAACAAGAAGAGUAUGCCUCACUGAGAGCCAGAAAGUCGAGUGGUCAGCAAGGCACCUUGAGAUCAAGAGGUUAACUAGAUGUUGGAGAGCUUGGUAGCUCUGACUAGAGCUUCUGAUGCAAGUGCAAAGUUUAAACCAAAUUCAAGUGGCCCAAGGAGGGAAUGGGAGUAAGGAACUGGAUGUUCUGUUAUUAGCCCUUUUGAGAAGCUUGACUGUGAAAGCCAUAGGGAGUUUGAACAGCCACUGGUUAUUUGGAGGGUGACACAGGGAACUUUGGAGUCCUCUAAUACUGUGCAAUGGUUUUCAGUGUGCAGAAGCAGCAGCAACAUCACCUGGAAACUUGUUGAAAUGAAAAUUCUUAGGCCCUGCCUCAGACCUACUGAUCAGAACCUCUGGGGGCGGAGCCUAAAGAACCCCUGCCCUAGAACAGUCUUUCAGGUUUACAGAAAUAGGCUGACUAUAGUCAGAAGAGUCCUCAUCCCUGAUGGAGUUUCCUUCCCAAGUUUUAAUGCCUUUAGUUCACUUAUUCCUGUUUCAUAAAUGGAGAUAUGCAAAGUGCACCCACACUGCCAUCCAUACAAGAAAUAGUAGUGGGUUUCUGAGGCAGAGCUUAUUUGUGACUGAUGGGUCCUAGGAAUGCUUCUCCUCUGGAUGCUUUCCAGUGAGCAGACAGCACUCAGGCCCUCCUACGAGGAGAUCAAGCUGGGCCAUUCCUUCCACAGGCUUUGGAAUCAACUGGCAGCCCAAGACUCCAUGACAGUUAUUAUGCAGCAGCUCCUGAAUGUAUCCACCUGUAUGUUCUCCUAUGUUGUUGUUUAUACAAUUUAUUUUCCCUGGAUUGCAAUUGUUUCCAUUCUCCCCUUCUUAAGUCCAAGUGUAUAUCUGUUUUGUGGUCAAGUAAUAUUUUCUUUAUCAAAUGUUCACAUGAUAAAAACAUAAAAAAGAGGUGAUUUUUAGGGGAUCAAUGAAGUUGGAUUUUUUUUUGGUCACAAAUUAAAUAAAAGUAUAGGUAUAACAAAUUUGCACAGAAUUAUUUUUUAUUUUCUUUGAAGUAAAUCAAUUACAAGUAUAUUCCUAUAGACAGAUAUUUGUCUUUAAAACUUCGUUUAUAUAUGUAGAGGUAUUAACUUAAUAAAUGCUUUAAUGAAGAAAAAUAUACAAGUUUAUACAUAUUUGACAGAAUAACUUGAAUUAUUUUUAAUAGGUACAUCUCUAGAAGUGUUUUGUUCUUUCGAGAUGUUAGAAUUUGGUCAUAUAACCAACAACAUAGAGAAUCACUCACAUAGAAGAAAUGUGAUACUAGCCAAAUAAAUCCCUUGAAUUAUUUACAAGAAGCAUUAAUUAUUUAUCCACUAGUUCAAUUGAUUUGAACUAUAACCAGGAAUAAAACAUAAGGGCUUUUUGCAGUAGGUUUAGGACUUGAAGAAUUUAAUCUCUUGAGUAUAAUAAAUGAACUUGUUCUCCAUAUUACUCCAUCUCCAGUCAGCAUAGCUUGAGACAAAUUUCUAUAUUAACUCUGUCAAUGUUCAUAUUGUUUAAAAUGGCAUGUAAAACACACAUGAUUAAAGUUAAAAUUAUUAUUUUAUUAUAUCAUUGAAUAAUUGAAAACAAAACUAUCUAUUCACUAAUCUGAAUAAGACUGAAUACAAUACCUAGUUAUUCUCUUUUACUGGAUACCCUUUGUUUUUCAACAUAAUUGUGUUAUUUGUUUACUUGUUUGAUUUUUACUCUUUAGAGCCUGUCUAAUAAAUAGUGUAUUUCUUGCAAACACAUUUACUUUGAGAAAGUGGGUACCAUACACAACAUUUUUAAAUGCUAUCUUUAAAUAUUGAUAAUGCUUCCAGGUAAGAGACAAAAUGUAUGUAUUUCAUGUUUCCAAAUAAAGUCUGUUUCUACUUGUAAAAAGUUAUUUUUUUUUGAAAAUUUUCUUUUAUUGGGUACUCAAUGACUAAUAUAUAACAUAAAAUAUUGUAACUUUUUGUGAAUUUUAU
rnacentral:lncRNA from 10 species